GACGAAGGGGGCUAGCGUUGUUCGGAAUUACUGGGCGUAAAGCGAGUGUAGGCGGUUUUCCUAGUCAGGGGUGAAAGCCCUGGGCUUAACCCAAGAAAUGCAUUUGAUACUGGGCGACUAGAGUAACGGAGAGGAUAGUGGAAUUCCCAGUGUAGUGGUGAAAUACGUAGAGAUUGGGAAGAACACCAGUGGCGAAGGCGGCUAUCUGGACGGUUACUGACGCUAAGACUCGAAAGCGUGGGGAGCAAACAGG
rnacentral:rRNA from 1 species